CGCAUCUGUGCAUGCAGCAUAUCAAUAAGCGGAGGAAAAGAAACUAACAAGGAUUCCCCUAGUAACGGCGAGUGAAGCGGGAAGAGCUCAAAUUUGAAAUCUUAAAGGGUUUCCCUUUACGAAUUGUAGUUUAAAGAAGUGUUUUCUGUUGAGGUUUUGGUAAAAGUUCUUUGGAAUAGGACAUCAUAGAGGGUGAGAAUCCCGUAUUUGACCUUUACUUUCAACUUUGUGAUACACUUUCAAAGAGUCGGAUUGUUUGGGAAUGCAGUCCAAAAUGGGUGGUAAAUUUCAUCUAAAGCUAAAUAUUGGCGAGAGACCGAUAGCGAACAAGUACCGUGAGGGAAAGAUGAAAAGAACUUUGAAAAGAGAGUUAAACAGUACGUGAAAUUGUCAAAAGGGAAGCGUUUGACACCAGUGUUGUUUUUCUGAAAAUCAAUUAAAGAACUGUUUAUGCUAAGCUGUUUAGACUUUAUCAGCUAUCUGUUUAGUUUUGAGCUUUUCUUUAAUGCACUUUUCAGUUAACAAGUCAACAUCAAUUUCUUUUGCUGUAAAAAAGCUUUGAGGGAGGUGGCUUGAGAUUCGUCUUAAGUGUUUAUAGCCUCUUGCCUAUGCAGUCGGAGAGAUUGAGGUCUGCAGCGUAGAUCCUUCGGGGCUAAAUGCAUUUGUGCUAAGUUAUAGCAUUUUAUAGACAACUUGUUGACUAUGAUUUGUCUUGUAGCUUACUCGCUUAUGUUAUUUUACCUACGCUUAGGAUGUUGAGUCGUAGAGCACGCAG
rnacentral:rRNA from 1 species